AAAAAAGCCACAUCGGAUGAAUUAUGGUUUCCUUCUCUUUCUCAGAGCCGCAGUAGCCCACGGCCACAUCUAGUUAGAACGUAGAGCCGUUAACCAUCAUCACCGGAGACUGAGCCUCGACGUGGAAACACUUCAGCAGCUCUUUGGCGGGAGACUGAAGUAUCUGGCUUACUCGGUGUCACGUCUCCUUUUGUGCACCUUCUGUGGGACUGCUGGGAGCAAAGUGAAGUUGUUGGGGCCUUCAAGACUUUGGUGUUGCCCAGAGCCUUUGCUGGAAGAAUCCCUGAUGUUGAAUCUGAUCACCUAUCAGACCCCCACUGGCCACCACUUUGACUUCCUGACUGGGCACCAUGUCGCGUACCCGUCAACUAAAUCAUCUCCUUUCAACUGCCUGUAACCAGGUUGGUUUGUUUCAAUAAAGGGCACAAGGACUUUGAAGAGUACUCCAGUGCAUUUGACAUUAAAAUGCUUUGUGCAGCCAGAUGUCAAUUCCACCUGCCCAGAAGCUUAUGCGGAACUGUGACCGGGGCUGACCCAGACGGAGCUGGGCUUUUCUUCGCCUCCAGAAUCUUGUGAGACCGGUAAAAGUGAGAGGCCCGCCAACCACAGGGGCUAUUUGGCAAAACACGAAGCAGCCUUAGAAGGUGGGUCAUUGCUCUGUUCAGCAGCCAGCCAGAGACAACAAAUAAAAUGGAAGAUCCUUCUCUGUGGCA
rnacentral:lncRNA from 1 species